AAAAUAGAAUUAGGGAAUUAGGGGUAAAGUCUUUUACCAUUUCUCUUCUACAUAAGUCGAUAGCACCACCCUCUGCUAUAACAGCUACCGGCGACAACUACAAUCCAGCAAUCUAUGACAACUAGGGAGAACGGCGACAACCCAGGUGACGGCGGCGACGACGGCUCCUUCCUCGGAUACAGGCAAGCCCUAAUCUGCUCAUGGUCCAGCCCAUCUCCGGCCUAAAGCUCCGGCGUCUUCGUGCCUAACUCUCACUCCGACCGUUCGAUCGCUGCCCUCCACCCAUCUCCGGGAAUUGAAAUAGUGAAACAUACUGGGGUUGAUCAUCCAAAGAAUCCCAAGUGGAGUUUCAAAACUUCUGCAAACAAACAAGCUGAUUUAAAAUACAAAGAGCUUGUUAGGUUGCCAAUUCUGAAUAUUGAAAUACAAGCUCAUCGGAACAAAUGACAUCCUAACAAAAGUUUUAGGUAUUGCUGAGCACCCCGGUCGAGUUCGAGGCCAGAGUCGAGGUGUCAUACAAAGAGACUACUUUCAUAAGCCUGUUGGGGGGGGGGGGGGUCUAAGAGGCUUGUAGAAAAGACAAAUUGAGUUCAAACGACAAUCUAACAUACGACAUAGGGAGGAGAUUGAAAAGUUGAAAGAAUCGUUCAUGUCCAAGCAACCAAGAUGGCACAUAUGCAAGCUAACUUUGGUAGUCAGUCUAGCUUUGGUAUCCAUUCUAGAGUCAAUACAAUAGAAGUUAAGGAACCAAUUGACACUGCUCCAGAAGUUGAGGCACCGAUGGAUACUACUCCAAAAGUUGAGGCACUGAUGGACACUACUCCAGAAGUUGAGGCAUCGAUUGACACUAGUACUUUGUAUGAGACACCUACACCUUCACCUUCUAUUCAUCCUAAGCCGCUGAAGAAAGAUGUUAAGAGCAAAUUAUACAUGGGGCAAGGCGGUGAUGUUGUUGCUCUUGGAUGAGUGGUGGCUACCAAAGGCAAUGUACAUGAGAAAAGUUUAGCAUCUGGUAACUAUCAUGUGGUUGUUGAUAAAUGUCUAGAUGGGAGUGCGAAACUACCUAUUUCAUUUGGGGAUGAGAUAACUCUUGUGGUUCAUGCGAUCAAUAGUUAUGUUGCUUGGCCAUCGCAUCUGAUCAUUACUUAUGAUCAUUAACAGGAACCCAAGUGACUAAUGAGAAAGUUGAUUUCACCAGCUUGUCUGACAACACAAGACCCAAAACAUCCUCCACAACACACGACACCAAAUACCCAUUUCCAUAACACAUGAAUAUAAUACUAAUCAAAAAGUGUUAUACUAGAGUACUAUAUUGGGCCACUUUAUGAAAAAAGGCGAAUGGAAAGGAAAGGAGCUCGUUUUGAAAGAGAUAUCGCUUUCUUCGUCCGAGCUUGAAGACCGAUUCGACUCGGUCUUUAGGGUUUCUUCAUUUCUGGUUUAGUUACAGAUCAAUGGAGCAACAAGUCCUUUUGAGGAACAAGAAAAUGAAAUGAAUGAUUUAACAAGUAGACAUUGGUUACCUGUUCCAGAGGCUGUUGAAGGUCUGCAAUGAUCACGAUGGUUCACAUAUCAAGGGUCUGUUGAUUAAUUUCAUUCAUUCUUUCUGGCCAUCACUUUUGAGAAUUCCAUCCUUCUUGGUGGAGUUUAUUACUCCUAUUGUGAAGGCAACUAACAAAAGUGGAACCGAAUUAGCAUUUUAUACCAUGCCCGAGUAUGAGGCCUGGAAGGAAAGUUUGAGGGGAAAUGCAAGUGGGUGGACCAUAAAGUACUAUAAGGGGUUGGGAACCAGAACAUCAAAGGAAGGAAGGGAUUACUUUCAAAAUCCGAAUUCGUCUUUUUUACUACAUUCAAAUGUGCAGUGAGGCAUACAAGAUGGGAAAAUGGAAUAAAGAGUUUCACUUAUGUGAGGAAGUGAAGUCCAAACAUCCAAAGAUUACCUAUGUUGAUCUUUACCAGGUAUUCUUUACUUGAUUCAGCGGGAAAUCUAUGGUAGAUUGCUAGUGUCCUUGUUCAAAAUUCUCAUGCUUUUGAUAUCAUCCACACCGUAUAAUUCAUUUCCUAUUCACAUUAUUUUGUUUAAAUACAUGUCUUUUUUCUAUCUUUUAACCUCCAAAUCCAAUGACAGGUUUACUAUUAUGCAUUGCUUAUUGAGCUGCUUAAGCUUGAUGCCAUUCAAUUUUUUUCAAUAAAAUGUCUCUUGUUGCCUGGGUACCUGGCUACUAUUACCGUCAUUUAGGACAUGAAUUAUACUAUUAUAAAAACUGGGAAUUUCACAACUUGGUUAACUUAAGUUUAAUUAAAUUUCCACUCUAUUUGCUAGCUAUUUAGACACCAGGGAAUAGUAUUUAGAAUGUUGUUGUACCUGCAGGUUCAGGAUGCACUUGCUCAAAGUGACUUCCUGCUUUAUCCGACUUUUUUAUCUUUUCACUAAAUCCUAAAUUAGUAGGUAAUGAGGCUGAAAGUUAAUUGCUUUUUUUAGUGGAAGAAGGGUCUUGGGAUUUAGGAACUGUGUUUGAAAUUAUAUUUUUUUAAUUUUAUAAAAAGGAAUCCUUGGUCAUAAAAGUGAUGGUUGUUUGAAAUGAUAUGCUAAGAGCUAGAUCUGUUAGAAGAUUUGGAAAGAAUCUUAAAAGACAUGUUAGAAGAGAUUCAGGCAGCAAUGGCCACGAGGUUAGUCCUUAAAAUUUUCAUCUUUUUUAUUAAAGAAAAAGUUGUAUAACUCAUUCCCAUGAAGACUUUCUUUAAUUAAUGUAUAGUAAGUUCAUCCUUUAAUAGACUUGUUAAAGAAUUCAAAACAGUACAUAGGUACAGGUUACAUCCAACUACUUUUUAAUUCUUUCAAUUCAUCCUCAAAUGUGAACAAGUAAUUUUACUUGCUUUUGUCAUGUUCUUCUUUAUUCUAAUUUUUGUGUAUAUAUAAAUAAAUUAGCAAGGUGAUUCCAUACUCUCUGUUCUCUAUUCGCACCUUUCUUUCCUCACUUAUUUUGUUCUUACUUUGAUACAAGUUUAGGUUCAUAUUUUAAAUUAUUUGAAUAUGGCAGUUUUAAUUAAUAAUAGUCCUUUAGAUUUGGGCUGUGUUCAUUUUUGUGUUUGUGUGAGCUUUUGGAUUUUUCAUUAACUUUACUGUAUAAUUAUUUAUUUUACAACAAUUUUAUAGUCUAAUUAUUGAUUAUGAGCUCCCUUUUUGUUGUUUUGUUUGUUAGUACUGAUACUUUACAAGGAUGAUUGACCUAGCUGUUGAUUAUUGUCCAUGAUUCAUUCUAUAAUUAAGACAGAAAGUAUGCUUUUUAGUUUGGAAAAUUACAAGAGCCAUGGGGUCUGUGGUGUACAAGCUUGCUGCUACAAAUUUUUCAACUUUGUUCUUUUUUAUUUGAUCAAACUGAUGUGCUUGUUUGUUUAUGUCUCAAACAGAAGUGGCAGCAUAUAGAAUGGUCAAUAUUGAAGUGAGCUAUCCCAUUUGAUGUUUCCAGAAUAAGAAGUCUUUGGUUGUUGAUUAGUCAACUUUUUGAGUUUAUAAGAUCUUUGGUCUUGGCAUAAAAUCUUCACCAAGGCUGUAUGCCUAGGGAGAAAUUACUUAAAGUUUCAUAACUGGCCAAUAGAAAUGGAAAAAUGAGAAAAAAGGCAUUUGAUUGUGACUCGUUGGUCCCUACCAGAACCAAAUGAGAAGCUUGUGGAAUUUGGAAUAGGAGGGGGCUGCAAUUCUUGUGAUGUGAUGGUGCAGCUACAUUAGUCCUAGUGAGUGGAGAGAAGGCACUUCAACUUGGAUUGCAAGUAAUUGCAAAGAUUAAGGGCUAUGAUUAUGCAGCUCAGUAAACACUAGAGACAUAUUAAAGAUGGUUCUCACCAGAGCUUACACACUUGGGUAAUGAAAGAAAGUCCCAUUUUUUCCUUAUGAUUAUACAAUGAAAAAGUUGCCACUUGAUUUAUUAUAUUACUAAUUUGCCAUAUUUUUUUGGUAAAUGUCUAAUAUUGGAGUUUUCUCUUGGUGUUAGACUUUGUUUAGUCUUGGUAACAAAAUAUUUUAGCACAAGAGCUCACCUUGCUUUAAUUUGUCAUAUAUAUACCUUGCUUAGUACUUUAUUCUAAUACUAAGAGUCUAAGACCUCUACUUUUUGUCUUUAGUACACUCCUGCAAUAGAUAUUUGGAGCACAAGAUGUAUUUGCUGAAAUACUUCUUAAAAUUGUGAAAUGUGUGCAUUCUUAUUUGUUAUUUAUUUUUAUUUUUUUGUUGUACUCACUUGAUUUUCAAGUUAUUACUUUGCUGUUCUAACUAAUCAUCAAUAGUCCUGUUUAUUUUAUUGAAACAUUUUAUUCUCCUUGUUCAGUUUCCUAUUGAAUGCUCUCUUACCUUGAGACUAGUAUGAAUAGAACUACUGAAUGUUGUAUGUCCAAACAGGAGCCAUAGUCCUUUGGAUGCUUGUUAGAGUUGUCAUGGAAUGGACAGAAGUCACUGUCAUUGAAAGGGGCAACCCGUAAAUUCCUAGAAGAUGGUGAUAAAGUUAUCAUCACUGGUUUUUGCAAGCUUCUUUGAUUCACUAAGACCUCUCUUUUAUUUUUCUAUUUAAUGUGAUAAACACUCUCUAUUAGUACCAAGGCACUCAAAGUACUAAGUCAUUUUCUCUAGAAUGUUUAAUUGCUCUAUACUCAUUUUGAAAAGAUACAUAAUCUACCAGGGAAAAGUAUAAGAUAUAGAAACAGGGGACAAUUUUGAAUAUUGAGCUGAACCAAUAAAGGGAAAUUUAAAAUCUGAACUUUUCAUCCGUCUGAUGCGUUUGCAUGAUUCUGUGAACAUUCUGCCCCAUAUUGAUAACAAAAAAUUAAAAUAGAAAUCUAAAUUAUGUGGAGGUCAUGUCAAGUUAUAUAAUGUCUACUAGCAAAUCUUAGCUAGUUUGGUAUGGUCAUGUCAAGUUAUAUAAUGUCUACAGAAUAGAGAGAAUGGGGGAUUACACUCUUAUAUUUUUUUUUAGGGACAAAUCUUAAUGAAUAGAAAUCUAAAUUUACAAUUAUAUGCUUCACUGUUGUCCCACUACUUGAAAAUUAGCUAAAAACGUGUACUUUGAAGACUAAAUAUCUUUAUUCAACUUUAAUAAAUCAAAAUUUAAUAAACGUCUCUUUUGAGCUAUUUUUUCUUGUUGGUUUCAGUUCUUUCAAUAAAAUUUUCCAACUUUUGACUUGUGUUAAGGGUUUGACACUACUGUUGAGGAAGCACAACUUAUUGUCAUUUUUGAGAACCGGUUUUAAGUGAUCCUCAGAAGAGAGCCAUAUACGAUCAAUAUGCUGAAGAAGGUCUCAAAGGACAAGUACCACCCCCUGAUGCAGCAGGGGGAUUCCCUGGUGGUGGUGCUACUUUCUUUCAAACUGGGGAUGGUCCAAUGUUGGACACAAGAGAGAGGUCAUUCUUGAAAAACAAUUGGUACAGAUUACAGGAAAAGAAAGAGCUGAUCUUAAGGUGAAGAGAGCAGUGAUAAUUAUAGCUAUUCUGAUUGGAUUAACUUGUGGGAUGAUUUUAAUUGGCUUUUACAUUUGCAAGUGGAGAGCAUUUUAUGGAAAUCAAAUCCUUGUUUCCUGCCGAUUGCAGUCCAUUCUCAGCUGGUUUUGGAAAUAGAGAUACAGAUGAAGUUAGCUACCUUAAGGUCGGAAUUCCACUAGAAAAAAAUUACUAUGACUGAAAAUGAGCAAAGUCAGAACUGAAAGAGCUUCUUCAGAUCUUUGGAAGGUUGCGGGUUUAGCUGUUGUUUGUGCUAUAUGUUUCACCUCUAAUGCUUUUGCAGGCAGCAAGAGCAGCUGAUUAUAGUAUUGGGAGUAAGUUGCUGAUACCUAAACCCCUCCUCUCACUUUUUGGAAACUUGACAGAACGAACAGGGUAGAGUGAUUUCUUUGGAGCAAUUCUUGACAACAUUUGUAGUUGAGGCCUUUAGAAUGGAAGAAUGUAUUUCACUAAUUUUUGUAUACAUUUCUUGUUUUGUAUUUAGUGAUAAAGGAAUCUGAAUUGGGCAUAAAUUAUGUUGUAAUAUGAUUUCUUAAGCCUAGACUAGUAGACUAAAUAUUGUAAUUACAUUUGAGUAAUUAAUAAAAAUCUAUUUAUGUUA